UAUGGCGACCGGCGCACGGGUGAGUAACACGUAUCCAACCUGCCCUCUUCAGGGGGACAACCUUCCGAAAGGGAGGCUAAUCCCGCGUAUAUCGGUUUCGGGCAUCCGAGAUCGAGGAAAGAUUCAUCGGAAGAGGAUGGGCAUGCGGCGCAUUAGCUAGACGGCGGGGUAACGGCCCACCGUGGCGACGAUGCGUAGGGGUUCUGAGAGGAAGGUCCCCCACACUGGUACUGAGACACGGACCAGACUCCUACGGGAGGCAGCAG
rnacentral:rRNA from 1 species